rnacentral:rRNA from 1 species
CCUACGGGGGGCUGCAGUCGAGAAUCUUUCGCAAUGGGCGAAAGCCUGACGAAGCGACGCCGUGUGUGUGAUGAAGGCCUUAGGGUUGUAAAGCACUUUCGCCUGGGAACGAGUAUCAGGUAAAGAAGCACCGGCUAACUACGUGCCAGCAGCUGCGGUAAUACGUAGGGUGCAAGCAUUAAUCGGAUUUAUUGGGCGUAAAGGGCGCGUAGGCGGAAGUUUAAGUCAGAUGUGAAAUCCCGGAGCUCAACUCCGGAACAGCAUUUGAAACUGAUCAUCUAGAGGGUAGGCGGAGAAAACGGAAUUCCACAAGUAGCGGUGAAAUGCGUAGAUAUGUGGAAGAACACCAGUGGCGAAGGCGGUUUUCUAGCUUAACUGACGCUGAUGCGCGAAAGCAAGGGGAGCAAACAGGAUUAGAUACCCUUGUAGUC